AAACCAGCACCUCAAGUGGUCAGGAGGAUUAUUGGGCCUAAAGCAUCUGUAGCCUGUUCUGUAAGUUUUCGGUUAAAUCCAUUAGCUCAACUAAUGGGCCGCCGAAAAUACUGUAGAACUAGGGAGUGGGAGAGGUAGACGGUAUUCGGUAGGAAGGGGUAAAAUCCUUUGAUCUAUUGAGGACCACCUGUGGCGAAGGCGGUCUACCAGAACACGUUCGACGGUGAGGGAUGAAAGCUGGGGGAGCAAACCGGAUUAGAAACCCCUGUAGUCC
rnacentral:rRNA from 1 species